CUGCUAACAUUGAGGUCACUGGUCAUGCGUCUCAAUAGCCUGACACACGCUCCUAACACACAUUCAUGCAGCAUAUGAACACUCCUCAGUGAGCACAGACAUACAUGCAUCACUGUCUAACAAACACGCACAAAGCUUAAGAAGCACUCAGGGGCCAGGCGCGGUGGCUGAUGCCUGUAAUCCCAACACUUUGGGAGGCCGAGGCCGGCGGAUCACCUGAGGUCAGGAGUUCGAGACCAGCCUGGCCAACAUGGUGAAAACCCGUUUCUACUAAAACUAUAAAAAUUGGCCGGGCGUGGUGGUGGGUACCUGUAAUCCAGCUACUUGGGAGGCUGAGGCAGGGGAAUCGCUUGAACCCAGGAGGCGGAGGUUGCAAUUGCACUCAAGCCUGAACAACAAGAGUGAAACUCCACCUCACAAAAAAAAAAAAAAAAGCACUCAGACAGGGUUUGGAACAGUGCCUUGUCUUCCCUAUAUGAAGUGAUGAACUGAGAAGGCUUAGCUUGAGUCUCCACCUCUAUCCUUUGGCUACAUUUACCUUAGAGUGCUUCUUUGCAUACAAAAAUAUGAUCCUUGCAUCCACCCCCUACUUAAAACCCACUGCCUUCAGGACAGAGCUCUAACGUUCUAGCUUGGUCCUAGCCCCACCGUGGCCACCUUUCCAGCUCCUCCUGGCCCAGCAUCCUGCCCUUCUGCCAUGCGGGAACUUGACUUUCCUGUGCAUUCACACACCCUUUCCCUGCCUCGGCCUGAAACGGAACAGGCAUUAGUCUUGGGCCUGCAGCGCUAACUGUUCUCUGUGCUUCCCUCGCAAUCCAUGUUUACACCAUUGUCUCACUAAGCUCACUGUGGUAUCAUCCCCACUUAAUGUUUCUUGACUUUCUCCCCAUGCGACGCUAGGAACUGUUCCAAAACAAGGCCUUUAUCUGACUUGUUUUUUCAUCUCUGUUGAGUGAGCCCAAGGUGGGCAGGGUCCACGGCUUAAGAGGCCAGGUGGCUGUUAUCAGACCAACUAUAGGACUGUAGGCAGUUCCGGCUGCCUAGUUUUUGGGGCCCAGGGCAGAAGGAAACUGUGGGGUCCUUGUUCAGAAAUGAUUAAGAAUGACAAGUUGGUGACAGCAGAGCAUUAAUCCAAUAUGUGGCCCUUCUCAGAGUAAGGCCCUGGGUAAUGGCACAGGUCACACAUGCAUGAAGCCAGCCCUCACUAUAGGGGUACCCACAUGGGGAGGUGGUAGCAUCAGGUACCUUCACAUACCCUGAGGACCCCAUGAAGACGAAAGCCCCAGAGGGAGGAGCAAGUAGCCCAACAGAGCCUUUGGGUUUACAUAUGGUGAGUUUCCUUCCUUCCUUCCUUGCUCCCCACCCCCCUGCCUCUUCCUUCCUCCCUUUCUUCUUUUUUCUUUCCUCCUUCCCUCUUCCUUUCUUCCUUCUGUGUGUGGGAGGAGCUUAGCUCUUUUCCUUGUAUCCAGUUAUGAAACUUCUUUGGGCACCUACUGUGAACACUGACCUUGGUAUAAUGCAAUGGGCUUCUUGAUCUUAGAAACUCCCAGACACACCCACAGGAGAAAAUGGAAUCCCAAUUCUCACUCCCCUUCCCCACUUCACCUCUGCAUACAUACCUGACCACCCAUCCAGACCCUUCCCCUUCCCUCAGUUCUUCCUCUGUAAGACUUCACAAUAUAUUGAGUCUAUGUGUGAAGGUAAAAGUGCUGUAGACAGGUGCAAAAUAAAGAUGCAAAGAGAAGAGAAUGGUAAUAAAUCAAAAGUAAGUCUGGAUUAUGCCCAUCUCACUACCCAGAAGAAACCAUUUGACUGUUUCUAUUUCUAUUCUAGUACCAUAGUUCUGAAUAUGCUUAGAUCUUUAUUUCACAGUUUGUUAACUUUGGGCAGUUUCUAUUGACUUCCUGCUAUGAGAACUGAUACAUUUAGUGUACUUCUUCCUCACUUUGCUUUCACUCAUCUCCUGGUUUUGUUAUAUUAUUUUUAGCUCUUUUAGUUAUCCUUAUAACAUUAGGUAAUUUGCUUAAACCUUGGUAUGGUUUUGUUCCAUCAGCUUUGCAAAAUGUGUCCUGACUGCCCAUUCUGUAAGAAGAAAAUGGUUUCUGCCUCCACUUCUCAUCAAUCCGAGUUUAUGUUCUGACUUAUUUUACAUCAUCAGACCCUUCAACUUUAUCAAAUAUAUUAUCAAAUUCUUUUACUUUAUUAACUUCUUUUAUAUGAUCAAGGUUACCGCAUUUCUAAGCUAUGACUUCUGGGCUUUGUCUAUAGGUCGAUUUCAACAUAGCUCUUAUAGUACUAUGAUUACAAAAACAGUACCAGGUUGGCCCCUCAGAGAAGCAACUGUAUUCUCAAGUCACUAAACCUAGGCUGCUUGAAGAAGACACAAGACUUGGGGUCAGAGGGAUUCUCUUACUGCACACGCCAUCAGCUUCUCAAACCCAUCAGUUGCUGCAUUUUAGUUUAAAUUGUACAUAUUUGGGCCAUGACUGCCGUGUUCAGUUUGUUCUUUUUCCUGGCUCCUUCUUGUUCUGCCUUUCAUUUCUCAUCCAAAGAAGAAACACACUCUUCUUUUCCAUGUCCUUAAAAUCACCCAGAUUUGUAAUCAGUGGGGAAGGUUCUGAACUGGCUUUCUGGUUCCUGUGCAGCCCGCAGCUGGGAUUUCCUUUCAGGGCACCACACUGCGCUAAUUCCACUGUUCGUUCUACCCCAUGCCUUCCUGUCUUUCAGAUUCCUUUCUAAUUUUGCAUGUAAUAUGUCCUCAAACAAUCUUUGUCUGAAAGGGUAUUUAAUUGAUAGUUUGCCUAGUUGUAGAAUUGAAGGUUCAAAAUCAUUUUCUCUCUGAUCCCAUUGACCUCUAGCAUCUAUGCUGUUGUAAAUUCUGAUGCAAAUGCAAAUUCUGAUGCUAAUGCGAUUCCCUUUUCUUGCAAGUGACCUCUUUUUUUAUUUUCUGGAAGCUAAGAUCUUAUCAUUGGCCUUCCGAAAUUUCAUAAGGGUAUUUUAGGAUGUCCUGCCUUCCAGACAAAGACCUGUAUUUUCCAACAGCGGUUAUUUUCUCCAUUUUCUAGGACUCUGAAUGAUGACGGCUGGGCCUCCUGGCUUGACCCUCUAUGGAGACUCUGCUGCUGAUCUCUGUUGGGCCACUUUUAGGUUGUGACUUCUUUGAUCUGGUUUAGUCAUUAGUUCAGUAUAAUCCUCUUCCCAUUUUCCAACACAAAUCUCUGACCCUGAUGAACUCUUUGUCAUGUUGAUAGGGAUUUCCACACGUGUACAUUUCUAUAGCAUUUGGAUGGGAUAGAGAAGCCAUCCUUUAUCUACUAUCAGGAGUGGAAAGCUCCCCUCUGGAAGUCUUUGGGUCCCUCUGAGAAAGCUGGAAAGACACAGAGAAAGGCAAGGAGGGUGCUCUGCAGGUUUCUAGAGGCCUUCGGAGAGCAUCAGCUAUUUGUGAUGGAUGCAGAGCUGCUGAGAAGUCAGCCUGCAUUCCUGAACAUGGCUCUCUCCUGGUUCAGGAAUGCAGAACCCUGCAGGGGCCAGGUGCCAAGAUGGUGUGGGUUUAGGGCAACAAGAGGAGAGGCAGUUCCCCAAGGGGUCCUCAAAGCCUUGAGGAGGGCAAGUGAGCCCCAGGCCUCUUGAGGAGCCCUGGUCUGACCCGGCAGGGUUUCUGCCUUAUCCCAAGUUCUGCAAAGCAGAGGGCACCAGGCUGCUGGCUGCCCCUCGAAAGAGCACCUCCCUCUCCCUCCAGACUUAGCAUCCCCAGAUAGAGGGGAGAUGAGAUAAUUUGGAAGUGUAGGACAGUUCUGAAGGAGAAGAGGUGGGAGAGGGAAUAGCAUUGAAGGGCUCUGGGCAGCAACGUUGACGGUGGGUGGGGAAGGUAAUGGAAGGGGUCGCCAGAUGGGAGGGGAAGAGCUUGGACCACCUACUUGGCUUCCAGGGAGGCUGAACCGCUUGCGGCCCCUCUCUGCCUCCUGUUUGGACACCUGGUACUUUUGUGCCUCCAUUUCCUCAUUUCUCAUUCAUCUGCACCCUCCCUUAUUGAGCAUCUUUGAGGUCAGUGGGGUAUCAUGCCUCCGUCUCAGUUCUGGGCUGCAAGGUAGCUGACAGCCUUGGGCAAGGAGCCCAGGGACACCUCUGCUGCCCAGUUUCCCUCUUCAGAAACGGACGGAGGGGAUGUGUCAGGCACUGCGCUGGCACGAAGAGGGUGGGAUGGAGAACUGUGAAUUCUACCUUCAAGGGGGAGGCAAACCCACAUGGACAGAGAAGACACAGGAACAGGGCCCAGCGGCACAGGGGAGACUUGGCUGAUUUCCAGCAUGGGAAGCAGAUGCCCCUGCAGUGGUAGAGACACUGGAGCAAGAUGGUUACAGGGCCCCAGAGACAGACUCAGCCCUCCAAGCCUGUGGGAGGGGAGGGCCACUCUACUGGGGGGCCCAUGACCACAGAGGGGGUAGGGCCUGGCUGGGUGGGCGCUGCUGGGCUCACAUCUCAGGGGCAGGUCUGAGGCAGUCUGGGAGCGUGAGGCUAGGUUGAGAUACACAGGGUCUGCAGAAGUGCCUGAGGCUGCUGUGUGACCUGGAUGUGCUGCAUCGCAAGCUGGGCUGGCCGCAGAGCAGGGCUUGCUGGCACCCAGGACUCACAUCGUGAGGAGCGUGAAUGCAGGAAGGAAAGUCUGCUGUAUCUGCAUGGAUCUCAGUGGGCCCUGGAGUGCCUCUAGUCCAACUUCUUUGUCAAUGUAGGAACUGGGGCCAGAGAGGGAGAGGGCUACCAUCCUUCUUGCACAGCUCACCCCACAAAGCCCCAGUUCCCCUCAGGGCCAGCUCAAAAACCUUCUCCUUUGGGACCAAAACUAAUCCUCCAGGCAGGUUGGAAUUGCAAUGCCUUGGCAAUGCUCCCUUUACCAGCUCCCAUGAGGCCCGAUCUGACUCCCGCUGUCACUGCAUCUGUCUGUUCCCAAGCACCUCAAGGGUAGGAUUGGGUCCUUUCUACAGGGUCUCCCAGUGCUUGUAGAAGAACGCAGUGAGUAUUUGUUGGAUGUGUGGAUGGACAGGUGGAUAGAUGGGUGGGUGGAUGGAUGAAUGGAUGGAUGGAUGGAUGAUUGGAUGAAUGGAUGGAUGGGUAGAUGGAUGGGUGGAUGGAUGGAUGCAUGGAUGGAUAGGUGGAUGAAUGGAGGUGGAUGGGUGGAUGCAUGGAUGGAUAGGUGGAUGAAUGGAUGGGUGGAUGAAUGGAUGGGUGGAUGGAUAGGUAGAUGGAUGGAUGGAUGGGUGCAUGGAUGGAUGGGUGGAUGAAUGGAUGGGUAGAUGGACGGGUGGGUGGGUGGAUGGAUGGAUGGAUGGAUGGAUGGAUGGAUGGAUGGAUGAUGGAUAGAUGGGUGGCAGACAUUGUCUCCAGCCCCUCUGCAUCCAGGCACUGCACUGGCACUCAUCAGCCUUUCUCACCCUGCCUAGGGAGGCCUGCUCUGGGCUUCCCUCACACCUGAGCUGUGCACCACUUGCGAUUUUUAUGCUGUGAAUAAGCUCCUGAAAGGUCACAAGGCAGUUCAGAGGUUGUUCUAGGGAAAGAGAAAUGAAGCACCCUGAGUCUCUAAAUCCUUAGCAGCGGGAAUACCAGGUGACCUGUUUCUAAGUCAGCUUGCACACUGGGGAAGCCACCAUACCUGCUCUCAUCUGGCAGCCCAGCACAUACAAGCAGGGCUGGGGAGGCACAGACCCCAUGGACAUUUGGCUGCUUUUGUACAUUGACACAGCCAGGCUGGCUCUCAUGGCUAGCUUUGCAAACUCUAAGCACAGGCUAGCAAAAGGCAAUGGGGAAGGUGGUUCCAGGGCUGGUAGAAGGUACAUGUCCCAGGGCUGAGGACCAGGACAUGGCCAGGCCCACUAUCUCAUUUGUGGGUGGGUAGGUGGCAGAACCUGGGGCAGCACCCAGGCCUGGGGAACAGCUUUCUCACCUCUCACCAUACUGGAUCUGCAGUGGCGCCUCCUCCUCCACCCCAGCCCAGGAUCCUGGGGGAAGGGGAAGGCUAGACGAAGCUGCUGUGGUCCUCCUAGAUGGUUGUAGUGGAAUCCGUGGGGAGGUGAGGAGGCAGUUGCUCUGUGCACAUUGAAAUCCCUUAUGAGCCAGUGUCCUGCAGGAAUAACAAGAACAGAUGUGUGUUUUGGUGUUUAUCAAAUGACUUGACCUCUACUAUGUUAGCAUUGAGGCAGGCAGGAAAGAAAUGGUUGUCUACACACACCUGUGUAGACAGUUUUCUCAUUUGACAGAGUCAGAAACUGAGGCCCAGAGAGAAGGGACUCACCCAAGGUCACAUGGCAGAAAAUACUGGAGUCAGAAGCAGAGCCAGGCCUUCCAACUCUCAGGCCUGGCUCUUGCCUUCAUCCCUAUGGCCUCCGACUGCAGGCAGGUCCCAAAGCGGUGGUGCCCCUAGAGUAGCUGAGGACACUGUUCUGUCCCUGGAACUGACGCCUCCCUGGGGACUGUGGGUGGGAGCAGCAAUGAAGGGAGUGGGUGUGAUGGUGAUGAGAAAGAAGAGGAAGGGAAAGCAGGGUCUGAGAAUGACCCUGGGGCAACAGGAGCCUCUUCAGUCCCCACAAGGGGCAGAGGGCAGCAGUGAAUCCA
rnacentral:lncRNA from 1 species